CCCACUGCUUGGCUGCACGGGGAGAGUGCACCUCCAAGUCCAGGGCCAGAGAGCUGGGGGAGGACCCUAACCCCAGGACCCUGCCCCGUCCCUGUCUCCUGGUCUAUCUGCCUGUGUGUCCCUGACUGCCCGCUGCCCCCUUUCGUCCUGGCCCCAUGUGUCCCCACCUCGGGGUCUCAUGGCCCCCCAUGCCCCUGGUGUCUCUGUGGCCUGGGUGACCUUUCUGAGGUGGUGCCGCCCCCGCCCCGCCCCCAGUGUUAUUUAUGUCCCUCUUGCCAGUGACACCCACAGCCACGCCUCCACCGCAUUCCUCCCGCCUGCCAGCGCCCGCCCACCACCCUCACGUGGCUCACACUUGAGUGCUGGGACUUUUGCU
rnacentral:lncRNA from 1 species